rnacentral:lncRNA from 1 species
AGCAGCCAUAGAGAUGACGAUGAUGCUAUCAUGCACAAGUGAUAGCCCUCUUUCUUUUUCGAUAUUUUAUAUAUGAUGUAUCAUUUUAUAUUUUUUUAUAAAUUCUUUCAGUUAUAAUGGACAUUCAUUCAUCUUAGAUAAUGCAAAAACUUAUCACUUUGAUAUGUAAUAUAAAUGUUAUUUUGUGAUUUCUUAUUAUAUAACAAGAAAUUUUGGAGUUUUUCAAUAUU